rnacentral:rRNA from 1 species
AGAUUGAACGCUGGCGGAAUGCUUUACACAUGCAAGUCGAACGGCAGCACGGGGGCAACCCUGGUGGCGAGUGGCGAACGGGUGGGUAAUACAUCGGAACGUGCCCAGUCGUGGGGGAUAACUACGCGAAAGCGUAGCUAAUACCGCAUACGAACUCUGGUUGAAAGCGGGGGACUCGCAAGAGCCUCGCGCGAUUGGAGCGGCCGAUGGCAGAUUAGGUAGUU